UACGUAGGGGGCAAACGUUGUCCGGAUUUACUGGGUGUAAAGGGUGCUCAGGCGGUUUUGUAAGUCAGAAGUGAAAUCCUAGAGCUUAACUCUGGAACUGCUUUUGAUACUGCAAGGCUUGAAUGUGGAAGAGGAGGAUGGAAUUUCUGGUGUAGCAGUGAAAUGCGUAGAUAUCAGAAAGAACACCAGUGGCGAAGGCGGUCCUCUGGUCCACUAUUGACGCUAAAACACGAAAGCGUGGGGAGCAAACAGG
rnacentral:rRNA from 1 species